GAGGUUGUGGCUCAGUGGAAGAGCGCUCACCUAGCACAUGUGAGGCCCUGGGUUCGAUCUUCAGCGCCACA
rnacentral:tRNA from 1 species